ACAAAAAAAUGGAGGCAAAACGAAGCCACACAAAGGCAGCGCUCGCUUUCUCCACCGCCAGCUCACUAAUCGGCGUCUUUGCUGUGCUCGAUGCAUGCCUGUCACCCGUUACACGGCAGCAUUGCCAUGGAGACCGGGGUCUGAGUAAUCAUUUGUGCAAUGACCCCUAUUCUCUAGAGGGAAGACGAGGGGGGAGGAUGGAAUGAAAACAGAGCCGGCACAGGAAGGGAGGAGGAGGAGGAGGAAGAGGAAGAGGAAGAGGGGAGCAGCUCAGCAAAGCAGCAGGGACCCAGACAGAGAAAAAGAAAACAGAUUUUCUUUCUAGAGGCAGCAGAGAAGGAAGCUUUUCUGAUUUUAUACAACAAACAGGAGGAAAAACUGAAGGACAGAGAGAGUUUUAUACAAACUGGGUUUCAGGUCCGGAUCCCAACAGAACACAAGGCUAAAUUAUGGACAAGAACAAAAAGGACAAGACAAAGACAGCAUGAGAGCUAAGGCAGCAGCAUCCUUUAAACUGUGCAGUGGUAUCAUGUGUAAAUGACAGGGUUUGGCCUACAGGUGGUGUUAGAGAGAGGAACCAGAAAAGGGUUCAACCUGGAAGUUUACUCUCGGGAAAUCUUUUUAUGCACAUGUAUUAUUUAUAAAAUAAUUGUAUUCCUACAUGCAUUUAUACUUUUAGGCAAACACAUUGUAUUUUCUAGUGAGACCGUCUACCACACUGAACACCAGAACAAAAUGCAGUGGCUUAAAGAGAAUGAAUAAUUAAUAGCAUUCUAUAUACUUAAACAAGUGAAAAUAAGAAGGUAAAUCUGCCUUUCUUGUUUAAGAAGCAUUACACUAAUGUGAAGGUUGAUAGUUGGAUUAGUUAUGACCCAAUAGAAAAUCAUCUUGAUGGAAUAUUUAUCAUAUUUUUUACUGUGGCACAGCUGAUCUGUUUCUAAUGAUAAACGUGUUUUAUUCUCUGUUAUGUUGAUCUAAAAGCUGCAGCAGAAGCUCCAGAUGAGUUUACAUCAGAAAUUCAGCCUUUUUUUUCAGUUUAAUCAGUUUCAGUUUUUAAGUUUUUUUAUUACAUUUACACAUGUGCGAAUCCUUACUGGGAAUUACUGAAAUUCUGGAUUUUUCCAGAACCAAAUGUCUCUAAUGCUACUCAGCUCCCCACAACAGAACCAAACUACCUUAAAAUUGGAGCAGCACAAGAAUCCAGUUAUCAUCACAAGAUCAAUCUUAACAAUAUCUUGAUGGCAUUCGACUGCCUGGAUCUGGAUGUAAUAUUUGAUGUGGAUCUGAGUGUCCAGCAUGCUGAAGCUGCCAGGAAGAGCUGCAGGCUCCAUGAUGAUGAUCAUCAACACAGAUUCCCCGGAGAGGCUGAGCAACCCGAAUCCAGACCCUGGGGCAUCAAUCUUAUAAAAAAAAACCCUCCUUUUUCCAUCCCACCCCGACUGAACGCUGUUGCAGACACUUUCCAGGGCCUUGCAUGAGAAGACGGGGGGAAGGGCAAGGAGGAGGGAGGAAAGCGAGGAGGAGGAGACAGCCCAUAUUCCCUGGAGGAAAGAGUGAUUCACAGCAGCAUGUGGGGAAGGAAGUGACUCACGUUUGGGGCUCGCGCUCGCACACAAGCCCCGUGUCUGACGUUAAAAAAAAAGAAAUAAGGGCAUGAGUUGGAAAUGGCCACAUAUGUUGAUGGUAGGAAAAAGUCCCGGGCAUGCACGCAAAGAGGACGGUAUGUUUAUGCUUUCAAAGGCUUGUCUGAAACCGUAAACCAAGGAUAGCAAACAAGCUGGAAGUCAGGUCCAAACAGGACCAGCAAAAGAUCUGAGGAACAAAAAAAAAACUACCUCUGUGUCAUCAAGUGGACCUGCUUCCCGGCAAAAAAAGCUUUUAAUUCUUUUAGCAGUCAGCUUCACUUUAACAAAUAGUAAUGUUGCUAUGGUUACCAGUGCUUAAAUAAAAGUGAUAAAUGAACCAGAAGCUGAAAAAUGAAGUUUUUGACAAUGAGUUAAUUGAAAGUUAAUCUACACUGUGAGUCUAAGGAAAACGUCUGCUGCUUUAGAGUCAGAAUGCAGGUUUUAAGGCUCGUUUGACGGCAGAAGUUACAAUUUCAGACAAAAAAUUCU